AGAGUUUGAUCCUGGCUCAGGAUGAACGCUAGCGGGAGGCCUAACACAUGCAAGUCGAACGGGAUUGGGAGCUUGCUCCCAUGAGAGUGGCGCACGGGUGAGUAACGCGUAUGCAACCUACCUGUAACAGAGGGAUAGCCCAUAGAAAUGUGGAUUAAAACCUCAUAGUUCUGAGAUAUCGCAUGAUACUUCAGAUAAAACUCCGGUGGUUACAGAUGGGCAUGCGUGACAUUAGCUAGUUGGUAAGGUAACGGCUUACCAAGGCUACGAUGCCUAGGGGUUCUGAGAGGAUGAUCCCCCACACUGGUACUGAGACACGGACCAGACUCCUACGGGAGGCAGCAGUGAGGAAUAUUGGUCAAUGGGCGCAAGCCUGAACCAGCCAUCCCGCGUGCAGGAUGAAGGCCCUAUGGGUCGUAAACUGCUUUUAUACACCAAGAAAAACACCCACGUGUGGGUGCCCGACGGUAGUGUAUGAAUAAGCAUCGGCUAACUCCGUGCCAGCAGCCGCGGUAAUACGGAGGAUGCAAGCGUUAUCCGGAUUCAUUGGGUUUAAAGGGUGCGUAGGCGGCUUUUUAAGUCAGUGGUGAAAUCUUGCCGCUUAACGGUAAAAUUGCCAUUGAUACUGAUAAGCUUGAGUACAAUUGAGGUAAGCGGAAUGUGUAGUGUAGCGGUGAAAUGCUUAGAUAUUACACAGAACACCGAUUGCGAAGGCAGCUUACUAAACUGUUACUGACGCUGAUGCACGAAAGCGUGGGGAGCGAACAGGAUUAGAUACCCUGGUAGUCC
rnacentral:rRNA from 1 species